rnacentral:rRNA from 1 species
GACGAACGCUGGCGGCGUGCUUAACACAUGCAAGUCGAACGAUGAACCCGGAGCUUGCUCCGGUGGAUUAGUGGCGAACGGGUGAGUAACACGUGAGUAACCUGCCCUUGACUCUGGGAUAACUGCGGGAAACUGUAGCUAAUACCGGAUACGACCCUCGGCGGCAUCGCCAGGGGGUGGAAAGAAUUUCGGUCAAGGAUGGACUCGCGGCCUAUCAGCUAGUUGGUGAGGUAACGGCUCACCAAGGCGACGACGGGUAGCCGGCCUGAGAGGGUGACCGGCCACACUGGGACUGAGACACGGCCCAGACUCCUACGGGAGGCAGCAGUGGGGAAUUUUGGACAAUGGGCGCAAGCCCGAUCCAGCCAUGCCGCGUGAGUGAAGAAGGCCUUCGGGUUGUAAAGCUCUUUCGGCGGGGACGAAACGGUCCGUGCCAACACCACGGACUAAUGACGGUACUCGCAGAAGAAGCACCGGCUAACUUC